UCACAACGCCCCCCUUUCCACAAUAUUUCUUCCAGCGCCCUGUCAUCCUCUGAACGCCCACAGGGGGGCUGUACCACCCCCGUUGAGAAACACUGCUAGGAACACCAGUUCCAGGU